rnacentral:lncRNA from 1 species
AGGAGAUAAUAGAUUAUCUAAUAUUUCAUUAAACUUGACGUUUUUACGCAAGGUGAGAUAAUCGAUUAUCUUACCAACGAUAAUCGAUUAUCGUUUAUCACUGGACGAUUUUACGCAAGGUGAGAUAAUCGAUUAUCUUACAAACAAUAAUCGAUUAUCGUUUAUCCGUUAUUUCUCAACGUCUAGUUUUUCAAUUAAGUUAAUCGAUUAUCUAAAGUGCGAUAAUCGAUUAUCAUUGAAAUAAUCGAUUAUCUGACAUAGGUUAAUCGAUUAUCUUAGUAUCCGUUGCCUUUCAACGUUUAUAUUUUUGAAAGGUUAAUCGAUUAUCGUCCUACGAUAAUCGAUUAUCGCUGCAGAUUUUUGACAAAUUGUUCAAUCAUUUAGCAACGGAUACAAGAGUUUUUGGGGCUAUAAAUACACCCCAAAAACUCUCAUUUGAUACACAACAAUCUGAGCAAAUAUCAUAUACAAGCU